rnacentral:rRNA from 1 species
GAUGAACGCUGGCGGCGUGCCUAAUACAUGCAAGUCGAGCGAACGGACGAGAAGCUUGCUUCUCUGAUGUUAGCGGCGGACGGGUGAGUAACACGUGGAUAACCUACCUAUAAGACUGGGAUAACUUCGGGAAACCGGAGCUUAUACCGGAUAAUAUUUUGAACCGCAUGGUUCAAAAGUGAAAGACGGUCUUGCUGUCACUUAUAGAUGGAUCCGCGCUGCAUUAGCUAGUUGGUAAGGUAACGGCUUACCAAGGCAACGAUGCAUAGCCGACCUGAGAGGGUGAUCGGCCACACUGGAACUGAGACACCGUCCAUACUCCUACGGUAGGCAGCAGUAGGGAAUCUUCCGCAAUGGUCGAAAGCCUGACGGAGCAACGCCGCGUGAGUGAUGAAGGUCUUCGGAUCGUAAAACUCUGUUAUUAGGGAAGAACAUAUGUGUAAGUAACUGUGCACAUCUUGACGGUACCUAAUCAGAAAGCCCCGGCUAACUACGUG